GGAACCACUUGGUGUAACCCCUGGCGGCGUGUUUUAACACAUGCAACCUCGAACGGUUAAAGCCAUGCUUCGGCAUGGUGUAUUAAGUGGCGAACGGGUGAGUAACACGUGGGCAACCUGCCCCAUACUCCGGGAUAACCUCCAGAAAUGGUGGCUAAUACCGGAUAUCAACACGGACGAGGCAUCUCGAUCGUGGAAAAGCUUUAUGCGGUAUGGGAUGGGCCCGCGGUCCAUUAGCUAGUCGGUGGGGUAACGGCCUACCGAGGCGAUGAUGGAUAGCCGGGUUGAGAGACCGACCGGCCACAUUGGGACUGAGACACGGCCCAGACUCCUACGGGAGGCAGCAGUGGGGAAUUUUGCGCAAUGGGGGAAACCCUGACGCAGCAACGCCGCGUGCGGGAUGAAGGCCUUCGGGUUGUAAACCGCUUUCAGUAGGGAAGAAAUCAGACGGUACCUACACAAGAAGCUCCGGCUAACUACGUGCCAGCAGCCGCGGUAAUACGUAGGGAGCAAGCGUUAUCCGGAUUCAUUGGGCGUAAAGCGCGCGUAGGCGGCUUGUUAAGUCGGGUGUUAAAACGUGGGGCUCAACCCUGCGGCGCAUCCGAUACUGGCAAGCUUGAGUUCGGUAGGGGAGAGUGGAAUUCCCAGUGUAGCGGUGGAAUGCGCAGAUAUUGGGGAAGAACACCGGUGGCGAAGGCGGCUCUCUGGGCCGUAACUGACGCUGAGGCGCGAAAGCUGGGGGGAGCGAACAGGAUUAGAUACCCUGGUAGUCCCAGCC
rnacentral:rRNA from 1 species